AAUUUAAACUUAAUCCCCAAAAUUACCCUCUUUUGUGUAUUAUUAGGUUUUCAAAACUCACCGAGGUAGAGUCGUAGAGAGAAGAGAAGAGAAUGGUGAUCGACAAAACCCUAGGUUCUCUACUGUCGGUGUAGUUGCCGUUCAGUCACUGGUCUGCUGCCGUUGCAGUCGUCGAUUCCGCCACAACAGUUAUCGCAAGAAGCUCAUAAAUUGAGCCACCUCCUCUAUCAACAUUAUAGUUUAAGAUAUGGUUGCUCUGUAGCUAUGGUUGCCACUGCAAUUUCCGCCACCAUUUCCGCUCAUUUUUCGCCAUCGUUGCCGUUGUAGUUUCUGUAGUCGAAAGCUUCUGAAUCAAGCUAUUGUUUCAAAUCUACUUCUCCUUUGACUUGCCACUGGUCGCAAUGUUUUUGAAGAAAGAUGUGGAUGGACAGAUUUCUAACUAUCCCAAUCUUCCAUCCAAGUUGUUGUGUCUCCUUCACAGUGUUACUUUGCAUGAUAUUGGUGUGGGAAGAUGGAUUCUGCAACUUUGCAGCGUCAGCAGCAGCACCUAAAAUAAACUCUGGUGAUUGUCCUAAUAAUAAUAAUCAUAAUAAUAAUAAUGGUUCUUCUUCUUCUUCUGUUUAUGUUAUGUGAUUAUCAAUAAUACAAUUAUUAAUUAUUAUUAUUAUUGUAAUGGGUGAAAUUGAAUAAGUGUAGGUUGAUAGGGAAAGUUGCUGCAAACAGUCACAAAUGGAUAUACAAAGAGCCUAAUGAACAAGAAAUCAACUUCUUGUCAACGUGGCAUAAUUCAGCUGAUUCACAUCCUAGGACUUGGGAAGCACAGUUCCAAUCUCGAAUAAAGGUAGUAUUAUAUUUGAUGAUUAUGAUAAGAAAAUAAUAAACAUUUAUAUUCAUAUGUCUACAUCAUAGGAUCUUUAUUGUUUCUUGAUUCAAACCAUAGCUCUCAUUGCUAUAAAAGAAGGUGUUGUUCAAUUGGGAGCAAUUCACAAAGUUCUGUCUCUACUAUAUAUAUAUGAUUUGAAAUAAUUAAGUGCUUAAUUGUGGUUAAUUAGUGAUUAAUGAAUUAAGGUGAUUGAGGACUUGAGCUAUGUGGUUCUACUGAGGAAGAAAUUCAGCUACACAGAAAGCAAUAAAAAUUAACUUGAUAAUGUUAAAAGGUCUUUCAGUAUUGGGACCUUCAAUGUAAUUAUAUAUUAUUAAUGUUAAAAUUUUAGAGCUUAGUUUGUGCGUAUGCUUUAA